rnacentral:rRNA from 1 species
UACGUAGGGUGCGAGCGUUUGUCCGGAAUUAUUGGGCGUAAAGGGCUCGUAGGCGGUCUGUCACGUCGGGAGUGAAAACACCGGGCUUAACUCGGUGCUUGCUUUCGAUACGGGCAGACUAGAGGUAUGCAGGGGAGAACGGAAUUCCUGGUGUAGCGGUGAAAUGCGCAGAUAUCAGGAGGAACACCGGUGGCGAAGGCGGUUCUCUGGGCAGUAACUGACGCUGAGGAGCGAAAGCGUGGGGAGCGAACAGG